rnacentral:misc_RNA from 1 species
AAGUCGUAACAAGGUUUCCGUAGGUGAACCUGCGGAAGGAUCAUUAUCUAUAACCGGGUGUGGCUGCGGCCUCCGGGGGCGUGGGCGUCGAAACGAAGCCCUCUCUUCCGGGUGGUAGAGGUAAAACUCUCACGCACCACAUGUCUGAAUCCUUUUUUUACGAGCACCUUUCGUUCUCCUUCGGUGGGGUGACCUGCCGUUGGAACCCAUCAAAACUCUUUUUGCAUCUAGCAUUACCUGUUCUGAUACAAACAAUCGUUACAACUUUCAACAAUGGAUCUCUUGGCUCUG